rnacentral:lncRNA from 1 species
CAAUCCUGACUGAUAUUUACUCUCUUGUCACCCUGGACAAGUCAGGGAGCCUCAGUUUUCUCUGCCCUAGGAAGGUGUUGCCUAUUGACAGAGAUGAGACAUUCAAGAUCAGAAGGAGACAUGAGCAAUAUGGGAUUUGACUACGCCUGCUUUUUUCCUCAGAUCUAUAGCCAAGCUCCUGCCAUACUGUGAGGUCAUGUUGCAGAUACGGAGACUGAGAUUCAGAGUUGAAGUAAU